CAUGCAAGUCGAGGGGAAACGACAUCGAAAGCUUGCUUUUGAUGGGCGUCGACCGGCGCACGGGUGAGUAACGCGUAUCCAACCUGCCCAUCACUUGGGGAUAACCUUGCGAAAGUAAGACUAAUACCCAAUGACGUCUCUAGAAGACAUCUGAAAGAGAUUAAAGAUUUAUCGGUGAUGGAUGGGGAUGCGUCUGAUUAGCUUGUUGGCGGGGUAACGGCCCACCAAGGCGACGAUCAGUAGGGGUUCUGAGAGGAAGGUCCCCCACAUUGGAACCGAGACACGGUCCAAACUCCUACGGGAGGCAGCAGUGAGGAAUAUUGGUCAAUGGACGAGAGUCUGAACCAGCCAAGUAGCGUGCAGGAUGACGGCCCUAUGGGUUGUAAACUGCUUUUAUAAGGGAAUAAAGUUAGUCUCGUGAGACUUUUUGCAUGUACCUUAUGAAUAAGGACCGGCUAAUUCCGUGCCAGCAGCCGCGGUAAUACGGAAGGUCCGGGCGUUAUCCGGAUUUAUUGGGUUUAAAGGGAGCGUAGGCCGGAGAUUAAGCGUGUUGUGAAAUGUAGACGCUCAACGUCUGCACUGCAGCGCGAACUGGUUUCCUUGAGUACGCACAAAGUGGGCGGAAUUCGUGGUGUAGCGGUGAAAUGCUUAGAUAUCACGAAGAACUCCGAUUGCGAAGGCAGCUCACUGGAGCGCAACUGACGCUGAAGCUCGAAAGUGCGGGUAUCGAACAGGAUUAGAUACCCUGGUAGUCCGCACGGUAAACGAUGGAUGCCCGCUGUUGGUCUGAAUAGGUCAGCGGCCAAGCGAAAGCAUUAAGCAUCCCACCUGGGGAGUACGCCGGCAACGGUGAAACUCAAAGGAAUUGACGGGGGCCCGCACAAGCGGAGGAACAU
rnacentral:rRNA from 1 species